AUUUUAGCUCGAGACAGUGAAGUGAUAAAUUGUUGAGGCGGCAUAUAAGACUAUUUAUAAUCAACUGACAUAGUUGAGUUAAAAGACAUUCUAUAUUCGUUUGUUUACGAUUAAUUACUACACAUAAAACAAGAUGGACCUUUAUAGAUUGGUUUUUGAUUGUUUAACAUUAAUUGCAUUUUCUAAGGUAAGUUUUGAUUUAGAAAAAUAGGUCUUUCUUUUGUUGACUUCUUUAAUCUUUUGUUAUCUCAGUGUUAAAACAUGAAUGUUAACUUUCUUAAAAACUUCAUUUUGUAGUUUUUUGUGAAUUCUAAUGAAUGCAACGACAUCUCAGCAGCAACAGCCAAAAUAGUGAAAUCAUGUCCACAAAAUCACAAGGAAUGGAUCGAAGCAGCUGCAAGGAAAGGCUGUGAACAAAUGGCCCACUUUUGUUCAUCAUCUGAAUACCACUGCGUAAUUAAUGCAUGGGGAAAUGAAACAAUUGAAGUAUGUGCCCCCAAACAGCAAAUUGUUGGUAAGAAUGCAAGUACUCGACGAAUAAAGCAUCAAAUAUAUGCAUAUCGUUUCAGUUGCAUGAAGUAAUUUCGUAUUUUUUAAAGCAUGACAUUUUUUUGUCAUUAUUUAACUCGUUGUUUUCUGCAGGAAAUAAUUGUGCUGAAUAUAGCCAAGGCGGGAAAAGAAUUCAACGCAACAGAAAUGUACCAUGCAGAAACUGUCCGUCUUUUUACCAAUCUAAUGAAAGUUUCAAUUGUAAGUUUAUGUUUAUGAAAAAAUAAGAACACAAUGACAUUUGUUUUAUUAGUUAAAGUAUCUUUAUUCAUAAAUAUUCUCUUAAUGGCCUGAAAUUCAAGAAAUUAUAUUGCUCUUCUAACAGAUCAAGAAUGUUAUGAGCACGUCAAAAAUGCAAAAACAUCACACACAACACAACUGACAACCGAAUCAAUAUCAGUGGAAUCAACUGAAGAAAAAGUUUACCAAUCUACAUCAGUAACUCCUAUGGAGAAUUCAGCACGACUAGUUCAAAAUAUUGAUAACCAAAAUACAAUGAGCCAUAUGUAAGUAAAUUAAAAAA
rnacentral:misc_RNA from 1 species